UGAGCAAUCUGCCCUUCUCAUCGGAAUAAGCGUUGGAAACGACGUCUAAUGCCGAAUAUGACCUCCUUUCGCAUGAUCGGAGGUGGAAAGCUCCGGCGGAGAAGGAUGAGCUCGCGGCCUAUCAGCUAGUUGGUGUGGGUAAUGGCCCACCAAGGCGACGACGGGUAGCCGGCCUGAGAGGGUGACCCGGCCACACUGGGACUGAGACACGGCCCAGACUCCGUAGGGAG
rnacentral:rRNA from 1 species